GGUGAACGCUGGCGGCGUGCUUAAGACAUGCAAGUCGAACGGCAGUCUUCGGACUGUAGUGGCGCACGGGUGAGUAACGCGUAACUGACCUACCCCAAAGUCGCGGAUAACGAUUCGAAAGAAUCGCUAAUACUUGAUGUGCUGGCAGAUUGUGUUCUGCCAGCAAAGAUUGAUUGCUUUGGGAUGGGGUUGCGUUCCAUCAGCUAGUUGGUGGGGUAAAGGCCCACCAAGGCGACGACGGAUAGCCGGCCUGAGAGGGUGGCCGGCCACAGGGGCACUGAGACACGGGUCCCACUCCUACAGGAGGCAGCAGUUAGGAAUCUUCCACAAUGGGCGAAAGCCUGAUGGAGCGACGCCGCGUGAGGGAUGAAGGUCUUCGGAUCGUAAACCUCUGAAUCAGGGACGAAAGACACUUCGGUGGGAUGACGGUACCUGAGUAAUAGCACCGGCUAACUCCGUGCCAGCCGCCGCAGUAAUAC
rnacentral:rRNA from 1 species